GUUCCCGAGGUGUAGCGGUUAUCACGUGCGCCUCACACGUGCAAGGCCCCCGGUUCGAUUCCGGGCGGGAACA
rnacentral:tRNA from 1 species